AUCGCCGUCUCCACUAGAGGUGGAUCUACAGUGUGGGCAACGUGGGUCAUAACCCCACCUCAGAUUUUAUAAUAUUCAUAAUACCAUAGAAGAUUAGAGGGAGCAGGAGAUCUCAGCCGCCGAGCGCAGCGUCUGAGCAGCGGCCACCCAUUCGUUGUUCACCCAGGGAGUCUCAGGUCUUCCGUCGGCUGGCAUCGGCCACCGUUCCAUCGCAUCGCCGACCGCCGCCCCACAUCCCACCGCGGCACCGCCCCACAGAUUGGAUUUUUGUCGGUGAUUUUGGUGCCGCACUGCAGAUUAAGAGAGAAAUUUCGUCUUGGGCAGUUCGGCUGACAGACCAACCUACGGCCUGGAUUGGAGACUUAUCCGCGACCCCUCCUCCCCACUUCAGCUUCAGCGCAAGCCAUCUUCCCGCCACAGGCUCAAAAGCAAUCAAGCGACUCCUCCCACAGUCCCACUUCCACUCCCACCCACCCACACGCACGGCCGCAGGCAGCAGCACCAUGUGGUCGGCAGCAACGGCGGCGGCGGCGCGCGCGGUGUCCGUGUCCCCAGUCCCGGCGCCUUCGCUCCUCAGCGGCCGGCGCGGCGGGUCGCGGGGCGGCCGGGGGUCGGUGUCGGUGCGCAGCACGGUGUGGGACUUCGUGGGCGGCGACCUGGUGCGGCCGGACCUGGGCAAGUGGCUGGACGACGUGGAGAAGCACAAGGCGCUGGCCAUCUACCCGCCGCACGAGGGCGGCUA